UACGUAGGGUGCAAGCGUUAAUCGGAAUUACUGGGCGUAAAGCGUGCGCAGGCGGUUGCGCAAGACAGAUGUGAAAUCCCCGGGCUUAACCUGGGAACUGCAUUUGUGACUGCACGGCUAGAGUGUGUCAGAGGGGGGUAGAAUUCCGCGUGUAGCAGUGAAAUGCGUAGAGAUGCGGAGGAACACCGAUGGCGAAGGCAGCCCCCUGGGCUAGCACUGACGCUCAGGCACGAAAGCGUGGGGAGCAAACAGG
rnacentral:rRNA from 1 species